rnacentral:rRNA from 1 species
UAGGGAAUCUUCCGCAAUGGGCGAAAGCCUGACGGAGCAACGCCGCGUGAGUGAUGAAGGUCUUCGGAUCGUAAAACUCUGUUAUUAGGGAAGAACAAAUGUGUAAGUAACUAUGCACGUCUUGACGGUACCUAAUCAGAAAGCCACGGCUAACUACGUGCCAGCAGCCGCGGUAAUACGUAGGUGGCAAGCGUUAUCCGGAAUUAUUGGGCGUAAAGCGCGCGUAGGCGGUUUUUUAAGUCUGAUGUGAAAGCCCACGGCUCAACCGUGGAGGGUCAUUGGAAACUGGAAAACUUGAGUGCAGAAGAGGAAAGUGGAAUUCCAUGUGUAGCGGUGAAAUGCGCAGAGAUAUGGAGGAACACCAGUGGCGAAGGCGACGUUCUGGUCUGUAACUGACGCUGAUGUGCGAAAGCGUGGGGAUCAAACAGG